UUCCGUGACGAUAAUGAGUUUGAGUUUUACAAGCUGCUAAAAACCCCACUGCGCAACUGUUUCGAUUCGUACGGUGGCUUCUCUGCGUUCGUGACAACGGCAGUGGGAACGGGCGCGUUUAAACAAUUGUCAGUGUCGGGCUACACCACCGCUCCGUCUAAACCUGUUCAGAAAGGUCCUUUUUACAGUCAUUCUUUCAGUCCCUUAUCUCCCCUUACAAUCCGCAUACAGUGGAGAGUUUAGCCUAGGGUUUGGUCGACAAUGAGCCACGGUUGUUCAUUAAACGACAAAGCGGAGGUUCGCUGGUUGUAUCCGCGUGCCCGUGUCGUAGUUGGGUCAUAGCGGCUGGCUUCAAAGGUGGAUUGUGCGUCUCGUGAAGGGACCAGCCGGACUUGGGCUUACCCUGGACGCCAGCACCGAACAGCACUUAGUGCAUUCCAAAGUUCGACGGUGGUGUGCAUCUCAAAACCUCAACAAGGACUAUCCAUCUUGCUGCAUCAGAGGCAUGGCAUACGACAUAGGCCGGUGUUCGUAUUACUGCAUACAUGGAGAAUGCUCCUCUCUGUCAACGUCAUUGAUCAAAUGCACGUGCGCUGAAGGAUAUGAAGGAGACCGAUGCCAGAUGGUGACACUAGACUCCAGCAAGGAGGAAAGGUCUGCAAGAACAGGAAUUGUGUUUGCGCUAACGUUGGCGUUGCUGCUCACACUGCUUGCCCUCGGUGCCUUUACCUGGUGCAUCUACAGGAGAUUUAAAAGAAGAACGAAGAGCCCUCGCAUCGUUAUACUGGAAGCUGAGGAAUAUGAUUCAGUCCAUAACCUCUGACACGCAAGCAAUGUGUCGCUGCAAAUGGGCACGCGUGGAAGGGCUGAACAAGUGCUGAAACACAGGACAGGGGAAAUGAAGGAUCCGUGCCCAAACGUCAACAUUCACGAUAGCUCCACUUGAAGCGCCACCUAAAGAAACUGCAAUCAAAACUCAGCUUUGCUAUCCGUGAGCUGUACAUUGUACCGCCUGCGACCAAAGUACAUUGACUGUGCCCCAUCGCAUCAGAUUUCCAGCAGGGUUGAGCCCUAGAUAGUGUCUUGGAUGGGUCACCAUCUAUAGAUUACUCGACUGUACUGUGGCCAUUACGUGAUGGCCAGCAGAGGGCAGUGCAGCCAUUGUUGUACGGUACUUCAAUGGGCACGCUGCUUUGGCUUCCUCGCCUUCACCUAAUAGGGGCUUCACUUCAGCCAGGGUCUGCGACCAGGAAAAUAAUUCUCUACACACUGCGCACCCAAUACCUUGAAACUGUAUUACCAAUCGCUGUGGUCGUGGCUUCUAGCCGGGUGCCUGCGAUGCUCCAGCGUAAUAGUCACCCAGCGAAUGUUAACGAGAAAUGAAUCCCCGAGCAAAACUAUGCAGUACUGUAUAUUAGUGCCCAGCACAGGGCAAUCAGUCUCUAGUCUAUUGUAUUCACCGGUCUAAAGUAAAUUAUCGACGCGUGGACGUACACACGUGGGCCCAAAGUUACAAUGUCCCAAGUUCAAUACCGGUUACUCGGUUUUCUCCCGCUGCAGUCGAACACGAAGGGGCUCUGGCUUAUUCGCGACACCUCCGCUUAGCACGAUUGCCUACGUACGGUGCGAAAGAAGUUCAAGUUCAACAUAAAUACAUACAAAUGCACGCGUUGCAGCGUAAGGAGCCUAAACGGACUGCGAGAGUGGGUGUCGGCAGAUGCAACUUCUCUCAUGAAAUCACGGGCCUUCUGCUUGUCAGGAGACACAAACCACGAAAGAUCAUCUCCUGAGAUGCCCUGCGGCUUUCACAGUGCGCUCGUCAAGAAGAUUCGGCAACGCCAGAAGCGGUGGCCUGCGCAGAAUAUUGUGCAAGAGACUACAUAGAUUGGAUAGGAGACACGAAGACGAAGCAUGCGGGGAGGGCAUCCGUUACGGCCUGCACGUGGCAUGCACCGUCGAGAGACAGGCCGAUCCUGCCGGAGCCAUGGCUUUGCUGCGCGAAACGUCGUGGGUGGGAGGCCAGCGAAGGUGGAUGGUUGUGGCUGGCACGCGUGAAGAGUGAACUACGGGGAUCAGCCUCUCGCCGCCAGCAGAGGGCAGUGAUCGUUUUCUUUCACCCCCACCCCCCCAUGCAACGAUCAAUGAUGUACAGCGUCAUCAUCAGCCACGAUCAGUCCACUGCUGGAUGAAGGGCUCCACAAGCCGACCCCAUCUCGGACGUUCCUGCGAUGUCAGCACUCCAGCUUGGCACCUGCGCACGAGUUGAUUUCAUUCCGCCCUCUCUCCUGGCUACGGGACGAAACGGUACACAAGCGUGUACUGCUGUAACAUUGGAACGAUACAGAGAUGACGACGAGAUGUGGAGUGUAAUUUUUGCACAAUUCACAAUUCGGUAAGAGAGCACAGAGUGCUCGAGAGUGAACGAAAAGCAACGCGAGCGAAUGAGAACGGACAUUUGAAGGAGGCGAUUAUUGCUUUACAAUAAGCAGCCUGGUUGGGUGGCUAAAAUUACACGUGCGCGCGCUUUGUUUAAAGAGGUCAAAUGCGUCCAAAGGUGGAAUGUGCUGCCCUCGUAAUGAACUAAAGUAUAAUCGGUUGUUUUUAUUUUAGCAGGUGAGGCUCACUGAGCUAUAUAGCUAUUUUUCAGAAGCUACGUGGCCGCAAAUGUGGACAUUAAUAGUGGACAAAUACUCGAAACGCGUGUGUCUAAAUGUGGAGGGUGAAAGAAAAAAAACCGGUGGACCGGGAGAAAAAUCCACGCGACCACGGCGAGAGAUACAUACAAGCUACAAAUAUGCAGGCGCCUGGGAUCGGGAUCGAACCCACGAUCCCCUGUAUACCGGGCGAGGCAAUUCACAUCUCACCACCGUGGAGCACCCUUCAAUGUCUUUGCCACGUCCACUACCGGACGGAAUCGGUAGUCCACUCGAGGGUGUUGUUGUUGUUGGUCUACUCUUCCACGCUGGCGAGACGCUGUGGUGGAGAUGUGUACCUCCACACCGUACUCCCAGCACACGCGUGGAUCGUUGAGUGGAGGGCGCGCGCGUUUUGAGAAACGUGCGUGCCCAUUGCUUUCCACUGCCACACCGUGAAACUAGAAGGCAUUAACCGUUGGAAGUGAAUAAUGGUCGUGGUUUUUUUUUGUACGCACGCGACAGGCAAUCAACACAAAAUUCGUGUUAUAACGCAGUGGUAACGGCGCAACAACACUUAGCUUUUACGCGAAUGCGCACGCCAGCGUGGAGAAGUAUGGUCAAAUAACCCCCCUCAGACCCGUACGGCAUGGGAAGGCCCUUGUCCAUCGGUGAGUGGAUGGACCAAGGGAUGCACGUUGUAGACAACAUUGAUGAUGUGCUGCGACACGUCCGGUAACAAUGUAUAUAUUUUUCGAUUUAAAGCUUUCGUGACUGCAGGGAUUCAUCUUCUUGGUUCUUUCGGUAAAGUCACGUAGA